AGCGAACGCUGGCGGCAGGCCUAACACAUGCAAGUCGAGCGCCCGUAGCAAUACGGGAGCGGCAGACGGGUGAGUAACACGUGGGAACGUACCCUUCGGUUCGGAAUAACCCAGGGAAACUUGGAUUAAUACCGGAUACGUCCGUAAGGAGAAAGAUUUAUCGCCGAAGGAUCGGCCCGCGUCCGAUUAGCUUGUUGGUGGGGUAAUGGCCCACCAAGGCUACGAUCGGUAACUGGUCUGAGAGGAUGAUCAGCCACACUGGGACUGAGACACGGCCCAGACUCCUACGGGAGGCAGCAGUGGGGAAUAUUGGACAAUGGGCGCAAGCCUGAUCCAGCCAUGCCGCGUGGGUGAUGAAGGCCCUAGGGUUGUAAAGCCCUUUCGGCGGGGAAGAUAAUGACGGUACCCGCAGAAGAAGCCCCGGCUAACUUCGUGCCAGCAGCCGCCGUAACAC
rnacentral:rRNA from 1 species